rnacentral:rRNA from 1 species
GAUUGAACGCUGGCGGCGUGCUUAACACAUGCAAGUCGAGCGGUAACAGGCGUAGCAAUACGUGCUGACGAGCGGCGAACGGGUGCGUAAUACAUCGGAAUCUGCCUCGUAGUGGGGAAUAACCCGGCGAAAGCCGGGCUAAUGCCGCAUACGAUCCACGGAUAGAAAGCGGGGGACCGUAAGGCCUCGCGCUAUGAGAUGAGCCGAUGUCGGAUUAGCAGUUGGUGAGGUAAUGGCUCACCAAGGCGACGAUCCGUAGCUGGUCUGAGAGGACGGCCAGGCCACACUGGGACUGAGACACGGCCCAGACUCCUACGGGAGGCAGCAGUGGGAAUCUUGCGCAAUGGGCGAAAGCCUGACGCAGCGACGCCGCGUGAGGGAUGACGGCCUCGGUUGU